UGACAUGUCCGUCGGAGCCCAAGCGAAAAUAUCCGCAUUCUUUUGUAGAAAAUUGAUAAGCUGUGUCCGCACCUCUUUCCCCAAGUUGGAGCCGAUCUUCACCACGUGCUCUUCAUUCCCAUCAUUCAAAGGAAUUGAGACAAGAUCUUCUAUUGGCUCACCCCGUUCUUCAGUCAGGUCAUCGCGAGUGUCCAAUCCAUCAACCGGACAGGGGUUAGGCUGAUCGUUUCUUUGUAGGGCUAUGUUAUAGCAAUGUCUUGUCAGGACUUGAUCUCCUCUGACUUUUUCGACCCCCUGGCUAGUAAAAAAUUUUAAUUUCAAAUGGUAGGUCGAU
rnacentral:lncRNA from 1 species